rnacentral:rRNA from 1 species
UGAGCAAUCUGCCCUUCUCUUUGGAAUAAGCGUUGGAAACGACGUCUAAUGCCGAAUACGACCUCCUUUCGCAUGAUCGGAGGUGGAAAGCUCCGGCGGAGAAGGAUGAGCUCGCGGCCUAUCAGCUUGUUGGUGUGGGUAAUGGCCCACCAAGGCGACGACGGGUAGCCGGCCUGAGAGGGUGACCGGCCACACUGGGACUGAGACACGGCCCAGACCUCCGUACGGGAGGNAGCG